rnacentral:sRNA from 1 species
UAAUUCAUGAUAUACUAAUUUAAGUAGAGAAGUUAAGGCGGUGGCUAAGCCCUUAAGGUGGUGAUGCCAAUGAUUAAAUAUCAUCUGCAUUAUUCCUUAGAAAGGAAUUAGUGUGUCAGUAUUUGAAGCUCUGGUGUUGGCGAUUAGUUUUGCUACAUUAGUUGUUGAAAUAUUGAAAUUUAG